CGUCACCUUUCCAUUCACUCUCUCUAUCGAAUUUCGAUCAAAAUCACCAAUUUGCUCCAGAACUUUCUCUCUUAACAUAUUUCUCAAUAACUUCACAUCACAACUCUCUGCUUUUGGUUACAAAAUAAUCAAAUUCAAACUCUUGGAUGUUUGUCUCUCUUUUUUGUAAUACAAAAGCGAGAUUAGCUAAAACCAUUAGCUCUUUUUUGUGAAAUUUUGUUUUUGAUGCUAUCAAAGCGCUUAAUAUUCGAUUACUCAAAAGGUUUAAGCUGAAAGUGGAGAAGAAACAGCCUGCAAACUAAGCUUCAAUUCCAAUAUUCCUCAUAGCGUUCAUUCUUAUACUACGAGCUUCGUUUUUUUUUUUUUUUUUUCCCACCCAAAAAUGUCGAGCAGCUCACUUUAGAACAGACUCGCCCAGAGAUAUACAAGUGGUUUAAGCUGAAAGUGGAGGAAAAUCAGCGUGAAAAAUAAGCUUCAAUUUCGAAUAUUCCUCAUAGCGUUCGUUCUUAUAGUGAUUUUCGUUUCGGUUCUCUGCAUCCAAAAAAUGUCGAGUGGUUCCAUUAGAAGAGUCUCGUGCCAAGAUAUACAAGUGGUGGAAAAUCUUAUAGAGCAAUGUCUUCAACUGUACAUGAGUCAGAAGGAGGUUGUGGAAACUCUAUUGGAUCAAGCAAAAAUAGAACCUGGUUUUACAGAGCUUGUUUGGCAGAAGCUAGAAGAAGAAAAUCAAGAGUUCUUCAGGGCUUAUUAUCUUAGAUUGAUGGUGAAGCAACAAAUAAAUGAAUUCAACAGGUUGCUUGAUCUACAGGUGCAGCUAAUGUGUCAGAUGCAACCAAGUGGAGUUGCUUCACUGCCUACCAGUAAUGGAUCUCAUAUCUCAUCAUUGCACCAGAACUCAGCUUGUUAUGCUUCAGAGCAUACAGUACCAGCUGUGAAGGCUGAAAAUAUGUACAUCCCUAUUGUUUCUGGUUUGCCUAAUGCAUUUACUAAUGGUGGAUCAUCGUUGCACCCAAGUAUGCACACUGCUGUUCAAAUGCCUGCUCAUUCUAGUAGGAUUGAUGCCCCACCAAGUAUGCUAUCAGCUCAAAGUUCAAACAUGGGUAUGAUUCAAGGAAUAAAUGGGGGCAUGAUCAAAUCAGAAACUGGAUAUUCUGGCAGUUCCCCUUACAUGUAUGGCUCUGACAGAAAUGUCCUGGAAAUGCAUCCAACGAUUGAAGAUGCAUCUGUUGCAUCUUUCCCUAGUGUACAGUCUAACUCACAACCCCUGAAUGAACAAAUUCUGGAUAUGGAAUCUUCUUCUUUUGGAUCUUUAGGCCAGGAUUCUCGAAAUUUCAGUCUCUCUGACCUGGCGGCAGACUUUUCACAGAGUUCUGGUAUGUUCUCUCUCUCUCUCUCAUGAACCUUUUUAUAUUUUUCCUUUUUUUUUUGGGCUCAAGAUUACUGUUCUAGUCGGUGAGGCAGCUGGAACUCAGCUAGUUUAAGUGGAGCAACUAUUUUGUUCAUAUAUUCAUCUGAGAAAGAAUGAAAACCCCCUCUCAGCCAAAAAUGUAAAAAUAAAUAUAUACUGUUAUACCCGCAAUUACAGACUGUUAGGUGGAAAUGCUGAUUGGGUCAUGAGUUCAGUUAAUGACAACAACUGCACGAGUUUUUGUGUAUCUUUAAUUAAAUAAAUUUAUGUACAGGAUCUUAUUCUGUUGGGGUAAUUACAGUUUAUGCAAAUGUAAUAAUUAGGCCCAUUUUAAUAAUGCCUACCCAUGGUUUGGACUUUGUUACUUUAUCUACCUGAUGUGGCCUCUGUAACCCCCCCCCCCCCUCCCCCUGCCGCCUCUCCACUUAAAAACCCUCUCUACUAUACAAGACAAAUUAGAACUAGGAUCCAAGAGAUAUUUCGUUCAAAUUCCUUCUCCAACUUUCUUAGAAAUCAAAUCCUGUGGCUGAAAUUGCAUUUCAUGAUCGCAAUUGUGUGAGAUUAACGCAAGAUUCGGCUUCUGCUACUGAUUGCAAGCAAGGAAAUACAAGUUUGACCUCCAUUCUUGUCUCUCACAGUCACCAUUUAUGUUCGAGAGAUAGAUGCGCACAAAGGACGUCUUUGACAUUGGAUAAUUUUGGGAGGAGGUUUUAUGGCUGUCGCUUUUAUGAUGAG